UCAUAACACCCCAUCUUCCAAGACACCUAAAAAAAAAAAAAAAAAUUAUUGCUCACUUUUUCUCCCUCUUGAAGAACCAGCAGCCUCAAAAACACCUAAAAAUCCAUCAUCUAGCUAUCUGUGAUCUGCACACUAGGUUUUUGCCCCUCAAACAUCUUCUUUCAGACCAUUCAAAGAAUAUAGGUUUUUCUCCAAGGUAAUCUAAAUUAUCAGUAGUAGCAGAACAUAAUCGAUGGCAUCUGAUUUCUUUAUCAUCGAUCCAUCUAUCAAAUUUUCGACCAUGCUUUCACUGUUUAAUGAAGGAAGUGGAAGAGUCAUACCUUGGCCCUUAGGUCAAUGUCCUGACUGUUUGGACCUUGAUGACAUUACAAAUAGACUAAAAGAUGAUUUGGAACAAGAUGGGCAUAUGACGGAUGUAGAUGAAAAGUAUCUUAAACUUGUGAUUGAAGGUGUGAGGCAUGGCUAUCAAGAAGAACCCAUGACACAUCUUAUUACUAAAGGAUGCUUCAUAGGCAAGUUAGGUUGUCACACUAAAAAUGAUAGAGAUCGCUUGGAUUUUAUUUCCAAGAUUUAAAAAAAUACACUUAGAAAAAUGCAACUCAAGAAUGAUCAAUGGAGAGAGCCUGUCAUAAUAAUUCCGGAUCUAAACCUUCAGGUGUCGUGCAUGACUAUCAAGAAGAACCCAUGAUAGAGAUCGCCUAGAUUUUAUUUCCAAGAUAUUAAAAAAUACACUUGGAAAAAUGCAAUCGAAGAAUGAUCAAUGCAGAGAGCAAUGCAGAGAGCCUGUCAUAAUAGUUCCGCAUCUGAACGUUUAGGUAGGAUCUUUAUCUUUAGUGUGUGAAAUCUGUUAUAAGUUCCAUUUUAGAUCAAAUUUGUUUCCCGCUCGGCUUUUUUUAAUUCACAUAUUUUUUGUAACAUGAACGUGAAUUAGGUAUGACAUUUUUUAAUUCACAUAUCUUUUAUAUGAACGUGUUGCAACUGGGUGUUGCAACUUGCAAAUGGGUUUGCAGAUGCUUCCAUUUGAAAGCUUACCAGUGCUACAAAAACAAGAGGUCCAGAGGAAGACGUCAAUUGCAUUCAUUGUUUAAAAGAUUAAUUCCAAUGGGGAUUCAACGAAUUAGCUUCCAACCAUGAAUUCGUUUAACCGUUAUUAUUUGAUAAACCUAUCACGUGACCUGUCUUGUAGAAUUAUCCAAGCAAAUUUUGAAAGAUGGUCAAGUAUUUUAGGAUUUACGGUUAGUUUGACUCAAGUAUAUGUAGCUAGAUAAUUUUCAUAAGUCAAUAUUGUCAUAAAUCAUCAAACCUUUGACUUUAACUUGUAUGCAGGGUGAUGCUAACACUGUGCCUCCAUUGGAUAAGCUUAAAACUGUCUUGACGGAGUGUGAGCUAUAUGUAUAUAUGGGUCAUUCUUAUCAUGUGGCCUUAAAUCUUCUCUCUAUCAAUUUUGUUGUCCUAUGGAUGCAUAUGUUCAUGAGGUUUGCGAUACUUAUUUUGUUAUGUGUGACAAUUUUGGGAACAUGUAUGUUUCCGGUGAAGAGAUUUGUAAAAUCAAAGAGGUGUGCAUAUGCCCUUCUAAUGGGAUGUAGUAGUGGAUACAUAUCCUCAACUUCUAAUGGGAUGUGGUAGUGGAUACAUAUCCUUAAGUAAAUAAUGCAUCCCAAAAAGUGCCCCUUUAGAUUACCUUCUUGCAAGCUCGUUUGUGGUAGUCGGUUACUUAUGGGUGGUAUACACACAUGAUGUUCAACGGCUUGCCGGUGCAUUGUUUGGAUCGUGGGUAAAAGCAAAAGCAGCUAGAUUAAUACCAUGAGCAGAUUGCACUAUAAGAGAUGUCGAUGCCCAAGCGACCGAAACAUCAAGAAAGAGAGCUUUUUUAUGUAGCCAGUGAACUUGACACUAGUACGUAUCUAUGUAAACACGAAUUUUACUUAGAUUCAUUCAUCCCAAACAGUUGAGAAUUAAUUUGUUUAUGACACUAGUACAUACUUCUACUGCGUGUAAACAAUGAGGUUUUUUAACCUUUGUACACUAUAGUUUCUAUGGGCAACACCAACCGUUGUAUCGUGAUAACAAAGUGAUGUGGAAAAGGGAAAUGACUUGCUUAUUAUCGGUAUGUGGCUACAUUGUUGAAUUUAUCCCACCAUCACAAAACGGAGCAUCCAUGGAGAAAAGAAGAGAACGAAUGAUAGUUACCUCAUCUAACAAGCCGAUGACUUACUUUAAUUGAUCAUUGAUUGGUGGCGGCGACAAAGGUAUUAUAUCUACCGAUUUCAUUGAACCAGAAGUAUUCUACAUUGGAUUUGGAAUUGUCAAAACUAUUCCAUUCUUUUGUACAACAAUUUUAGGGAAGAGCCUACAGUUUAGUUGAUACAGUCUCUGAGAAGACCUUGAACAUACUAUAUUGUUCAAAUAUAGUGAAAUAAAUUCGUGGAAUGUAAGGCCAAUAAAA